GAUGAACGCUAGCUACAGGCUUAACACAUGCAAGUCGCGGGGCAGCAUGGGGGUUGCUUGCAAUCCCCGAUGGCGACCGGCGCACGGGUGAGUAACGCGUAUCCAACCUGCCCUUCACCACGGGAUAACCCGGCGAAAGUCGGACUAAUACCGUAUGUUGUCCAUUGACGGCAUCCGAUUUGGACGAAAGGUUUGGCGGUGAAGGAUGGGGAUGCGUCCGAUUAGCUGGACGGCGGGGUGACGGCCCACCGUGGCGACGAUCGGUAGGGGUUCUGAGAGGAAGGUCCCCCACACUGGAACUGAGACACGGUCCAGACUCCUACGGGAGGCAGCAGUGAGGAAUAUUGGUCAAUGGGCGUAAGCCUGAACCAGCCAAGUAGCGUGCAGGAGGACGGCCCUAUGGGUUGUAAACUGCUGUUAUGCGGGGAUAAAGUGGCCCACGUGUGGGUUUUUGCAGGUACCGCAUGAAUAAGGACCGGCUAAUUCCGUG
rnacentral:rRNA from 1 species